GAUGAACGCUGGCGGCGUGCCUAAUACAUGCAAGUCGAGCGAACAGACGAGGAGCUUGCUCCUCUGACGUUAGCGGCGGACGGGUGAGUAACACGUGGAUAACCUACCUAUAAGACUGGGAUAACUUCGGGAAACCGGAGCUAAUACCGGAUAAUAUAUUUAACCGCAUGGUUCAAUAGUGAAAGACGGUUUUGCUGUCACUUAUAGAUGGAUCCGCGCCGCAUUAGCUAGUUGGUAAGGUAACGGCUUACCAAGGCAACGAUGCGUAGCCGACCUGAGAGGGUGAUCGGCCACACUGGAACUGAGACACGGUCCAGACUCCUACGGGAGGCAGCAGUAGGGAAUCUUCCGCAAUGGGCGAAAACCUGACGGAGCAACGCCGCGUGAGUGAUGAAGGUCUUCGGAUCGUAAAACUCUGUUAUUAGGGAAGAACAAAUGUGUAAGUAACUAUGCACGUCUUGACGGUACCUAAUCAGAAAGCCACGGCUAACUACGUG
rnacentral:rRNA from 1 species